rnacentral:rRNA from 1 species
GUUAUUGUUUAUUUGAUACAACAAAUGGAUAACUGUAGAAAAACUAGAGCUAAUACAUGCUUUAAUCGUAAGAUUGUAUUUAUUAGAUAUUCUGAAUUGGUGAAUCAUAAUAACUUCGCAAAUCUCGUUUAUGACGAGAUAAAUCAUCCAAGUUUCUGCCCUAUCAUGCUUUCGAUGGUAGUGUAUUGGACUACCAUGGCUCUCACGGGUAACAGGGAAUUAGGGUUCGAUUCUGGAGAAGGAGCCUGAGAAACGGCUACUACAUCUACGGAAGGCAGCAGGCGCGUAAAUUACCCAAUCCUGACUCAGGGAGGUGGUGACAAGAUAUAACGACGCGGUUAUUAUCGCGAUUGUAGUGAGGGUAUUCUAAACAGAACCUAUAGUACGAUUAGAGGGCAAGUCUGGUGCCAGCAGCCGCGGUAAUUCCAGCUCUAAUAGCGUAUAUUAAAGUUGCUGCAGUUAAAAAGCUCGUAGUUGGAUUUCAAGGAUUGUAGAACCUCCACGGGGAUACAUCCUACUAGUCUUCGGACUGUUACUGUGAGAAAAUUAGAGUGUUUCAAGCAGGCUUUCGCAAGAAUACAUUAGCAUGGAAUAACGAAUGUAUUUAGAAUCUUGGUUAAUUCUAAAUUACGAUUAAUAGAGACAGUUGGGGGCAUUAGUAUUUAAUUGUC